AACGCACGAGACCUGCGGACCUGCGGAAGGAUCAUUAGUGAACGCCCUCACGGGCUUAUAACUAUUCCAAACCUCUGUGGACCGUGCCCUUCGGGGCUAUUUUACAAACAUGGUGUAAUGAACGUCAUAUAUCAUAACAAAACAAAACUUUCAGCAACGGAUCUCU
rnacentral:misc_RNA from 1 species